UAGGGAAUCUUCCGCAAUGGACGAAAGUCUGACGGAGCAACGCCGCGUGAGUGAAGAAGGAUUUCGGUUCGUAAAACUCUGUUGUUAGGGAAGAAAAAAUGUAUAGUAACUAUAUACAAACGAGACGGUACCUAACCAGAAAGCCACGGCUAACUACGUGCCAGCAGCCGCGGUAAUACGUAGGUGGCAAGCGUUGUCCGGAAUUAUUGGGCGUAAAGCGCGCGCAGGCGGACUAGCCAGUCAGUCUUAAAAGUUCGGGGCUUAACCCCGUGAUGGGAUUGAAACUACUAGUCUAGAGUAUCGGAGAGGAAAGUGGAAUUCAUAGUGUAGCGGUGAAAUGCGUAGAUAUUAGGAAGAACACCAGUGGCGAAGGCGACUUUCUGGACGAACACUGACGCUGAGGCGCGAAAGCCAGGGGAGCGAACGGG
rnacentral:rRNA from 1 species